GACGGAGGGUGCAAACGUUGUUCGGAAUUACUGGGCGUAAAGCGCGUGUAGGCUGCUUCGAAAGUCGGAUGUGAAAGCCCUGGGCUCAACCUAGGAAGUGCAUUCGAAACUUCGAAGCUGGAGUCCUGGAGAGGAAGGCGGAAUUCUCGGUGUAGAGGUGAAAUUCGUAGAUAUCGAGAGGAACACCGGUGGCGAAGGCGGCCUUCUGGACAGUGACUGACGCUGAGACGCGAAAGCGUGGGGAGCAAACAGG
rnacentral:rRNA from 1 species